rnacentral:rRNA from 1 species
AGGGUUUGAUUAUGGCUCAGAACGAACGCUGGCGGCGUGCUUAACACAUGCAAGUCGAGUGCGCGCCUGUAGCAAUACAGGUGGCGCACGGCGCACGGGUGCGUAACACGUGGGUAAUCUGCCCUCUGAUGGGGAAUAACCCGCCGAAAGGCGGGCUAAUACCGCAUAACAUUCCUUGGAUUUCGGUCCGGGGACUCAAAGGCGUAAGUCGUCGGAGGAGGAGCCCGCGCACGAUUAGCUAGUUGGUAGGGUAAUGGCCUACCAAGGCUUUGAUCGUUAGCUGGUCUGAGAGGAUGGCCAGCCACACUGGAACUGAGACACGGUCCAGACUCCUACGGGAGGCAGCAGUGGGGAAUCUUGCACAAUGGGCGAAAGCCUGAUGCAGCGACGCCGCGUGGGGGAUGAAGCAUUUCGGUGUGUAAACCCCUUUCGAUCCGGACGAAUACCUCGCAAGAGGGGUGACGGUACGGAUAUAAGAAGCCCCGGCUAACUACGUGCCAGCAGCCGCGGUAAGACGUAGGGGGCCAGCGUUGUUCGGAAUUACUGGGUGU